CAUCACUGUUCCUUCAGUUCUCACUCAUUCACAGUAAAGAUGACAGCACACGCUCUCAUUAUCUGCUCUCUUCUGCUUUUCACUGCUGGUUGUUUCGGUGAGAUUAUUCUGACUCAGAGUCCCAAAGUGAAGAUGGUGUCAGUGGGAGACAGUGUCACUCUCAACUGUGUGUCCAGCUCUAAUAUUGGGUCUUAUUUAGUCUGGUAUCUGCAGAGAUCUGGAGAAUCCCCCAAACUCCUGUUCUCUAGUGUUGGUAGCAAAGCGUCUGGAGUUUCUGACAGAUUCACUGAUGGGGGAUCAAACACAAACUUUAUGCUAAAUAUCAGAAAUGUCCAGACUGAAGAUGCAGGAGAUUAUUAUUGUCAGCAGCGUAAAGAGUUUCCACUCACACAGUGAUAAAGAGUCGCACAAAAACCUCCUUCAGUGAAAGAGGAACUGCUGAUACAGACACAGUUACUGUAAAUUUGACAUUAUCAAUUGAUCUGAGCAAAGUGUUUAAUAUAUAAGUUCAAACUGGAUCUCCAUCUGGAUUCAGUGGAUCUGAUAGUGAUUUCAGUCGGACCAUCAGUGGAGUCCAGACUGAAGAUGUUCAGUGUUCAAUUCAUGCAUUAUUUCACUCAAUACUGCGGCUUUGUUGUGUAUUUAUUGUCAAGUGUCACAAUUAUUGCAAUAAUAUCUGUGCCAAAGUUACUAUAUGAUUAUAUUGAAAUAAUAUUUUAGUUGAUCUUCUAUUUGUUUUAUUUAGAGCAGAUAUAGUUGUUAGAGGGGAUUUUAUGAUGUCAUAAUGGUCAUGUUACAAUGUAAAGUUCCUCCUAUGGGGCGUGUUGUCACGUUCCACUUUCCUCUUUUACAGGUAGAUGACAAUAAAAAAACACUAAGCUGUAUUCACGAAACAAGUCCACAUAUUUGUGCCAGACAUGUGUGAAAUUAAUGUGAAUUAAGAAAAAUACUCUGAACCCCAAGUGCAUUUACACAAACUUAAUAA